rnacentral:rRNA from 1 species
GACGAACCACCCAAACGUUAUUCGGAAUCACUGGGCUUAAAGGGUGCGUAGGCGGCGUCGUAAGUCGGGUGUGAAAUCCCUCAGCUCAACUGAGGAAUUGCGCCCGAUACUGCGGCGCUUGAGGGAGACAGAGGUAAGCGGAACUGAUGGUGGAGCGGUGAAAUGCAUUGAUAUCAUCAGGAACACCGGUGGCGAAAGCGGCUCACUGGGUCUCUUCUGACGCUCAGGCACGAAAGCUAGGGGAGCGAACGGG